GACGAACGCUGGCGGCGUGCCUAACACAUGCAAGUCGAGCGGGGUUGAAGCGAGAGGUAACUCGAACUUCUACCUAGCGGCGGACGGGUGAGUAACGCGUGGGCAACCUGCCUCAAGGUCUGGGAUAACAGCCCGAAAGGGCUGCUAAUACUGGGUAUGCUUGUGGCCUCGCAUGGGGCUAUGAGCAAAGGGGAAACCCGCCUUGAGAUGGGCCCGCGUCCCAUCAGCUAGUUGGUGAGGUAACAGCUCACCAAGGCGACGACGGGUAGCCGGCCUGAGAGGGUGACCGGCCACACUGGGACUGAGACACGGCCCAGACUCCUACGGGGGGCAGCAGUGGGGGAUCUUGCACAAUGGGCGAAAGCCUGAUGCAGCGACGCCGCGUGAGCGAAGAAGGCCUUCGGUGUAAAGCUCUGUCUGGAGGGACGGAAGGAAGUAGACGGUACCUCCGGAGGAAGCCACGGCUAACUACGUGCCAGGCAGCCGCGGUAAACUCGUCU
rnacentral:rRNA from 1 species